UAAUACAGAGGGGGCAAGCGUUAUUCGGAAUUAUUGGGCGUAAAGGGCGCGUAGGCGGCCUGGCAAGUGGAAGGUGAAAUCCCUCGGCUUAACCGAGGAACUGCCUCCCAAACUGCUUGGCUUGAGACCGGGAGAGGUGAGUGGAAUUCCCAGUGUAGCGGUGAAAUGCGUAGAUAUUGGGAGGAACACCAGUGGCGAAGGCGGCUCACUGGACCGGUACUGACGCUGAGGCGCGAAAGCGUGGGGAGCAAACGGGAUUAGAUACCCCGGUAGUCCACGCCGUAAACGAUGAGUGCUUGGUGUAGCGGGUAUCGACCCCUGCUGUGCCGAAGUCAACACAUUAAGCACUCCGCCUGGGGAGUACGGUCGCAAGGCUG
rnacentral:rRNA from 1 species